GACGAACGCUGGCGGCGUGCUUAACACAUGCAAGUCGAACGGAGAGGCCUUUUCGGAGGUACUCGAGUGGCGAACGGGUGAGUAACACGUGGGUGAUCUGCCCUGCACUCUGGGAUAAGCCUGGGAAACUGGGUCUAAUACCGGAUAGGACCGCACUUUAGUGUGUGUGGUGGAAAGUUUUUUCGGUGUAGGAUGAGCCCGCGGCCUAUCAGCUUGUUGGUGGGGUAAUGGCCUACCAAGGCGGCGACGGGUAGCCGGACUGAGAGGUUGGUCGGCCACAUUGGGACUGAGAGACGGCCCAGACUCCUACGGGAGGCAGCAGUGGGGAAUAUUGCACAAUGGGCGCAAGCCUGAUGCAGCGACGCCGCGUGGGGGAUGACGGCCUUCGGGUUGUAAACUCCUUUCGCCAGGGACGAAGCGUUUUGUGACGGUACCUGGAGAAGAAGCACCGGCUAACUACGUG
rnacentral:rRNA from 1 species